AGUGAACGCUGGCGGUAGGCCUAACACAUGCAAGUCGAACGGCAGCACAGUAAGUGCUUGCUCUUACGUGUGUCGAGUGUCGGACGGGUGAGUUAUACUUCGGAAUCUACUUUUUCGUGGGUGCUAACGUAGGGUAACUUACGCUAAUCCCGCAUACGACCUCCUGGUGUAAGCACGGGAUCUUCUGACCUUGCGCGAUUGUAUGAGCCUAUGUCGGCUUCGCUCGUUGGCGGGUUAAAGGCCCACCAAGGCGACGAUCCGUAUCGGGUCUGAGAGGGUGAUCAGACAGACGGGAACUGAGAAACGGUACAGACUCCGAGGGGAAGCAGCAGUGGAGAAUAUUGGGCGAAGGGGGCAAGCCUGAUACAGCAAUACCGCGGGAGUGAAGAAGGACUAAGGGUGGGAAAGCCAUGUUGUUGGGAAAGAAAAGAAGCAGGUUAAUACCGGGCUGUUAUGACGGUACCAAAAGAAUAAGCACCGGCUAACUUCGUG
rnacentral:rRNA from 1 species